AGGUCAUCUGUAUUAAAAAAAAAAUCCAAAAAACAACUUUUGAUUGUAUAUCCCAGGAGAAAGUCUGGGAGCCAAAGAAAAGAUUUUAAUUCACUCUAUUCUCUUAACCCUGGACAGGGAAAUCAUAGCACAUUGCCAGAGGAAAAUCAGGAAGCCCAGGCUUGGGCUGAGCCUCUGGGUGGAUUUCUUAAGCCCGAAGAUUAUCCUAAAUUCCAGCCGUCAGACUCCAAGGACAGUGCACUGCUUCCCAAAAUUGUCUCCACGUGUUCAUUACAUCUGUGUACCAAACCAGGUAGCACUGCUACCUCAUAUUUCAAAAAUACUACGACAGAACACGAAAAAGUCUUACCACCAGGAGAAACCACUCUGGCAAAUAACCAUGAUGUGAGGCAUUGCCCACCAUUACUGCAAAAUGAGAGCAUGAACCCACAUACUCCAUCAUCUUUCUGCAUUGUUUCCAAUUCUGCGAUGCCAGGAAGAGUAGAAACCACACUGCAAAGCAACAAUCCGGAGGCAACGAGUACCCCAACUCUAUUGAAGAAUGACAUUAACCAGUGCUCUGCACCUUCAUCUGCUGGUAUUUUACCUAAUUUUGGUGAGUUUCAGAUGAUGCUUGUUACAAGUAGCACUGUUGAAUCUGGACCCAUCAGUACCCUUAGCGUAAGCUGGUUGUAGCUCGUUUUCACAAUUACAUUUUUUAAGUGACUUGAGAUUCACAGGUAUAUGUCAGAAAUAAUACGAAGUGGUGGCCUUUACACUUUACCCAUUUCUCCCAGCAGUAAAUAAUCUUCCAAAAACACAAUCAAGAUAUUGAAACUGAUGUGAUUCACAGUCAUUACUGAGAUGCCUCUGGGUUUACUUGUAGUAAUUUGUGUGUGUUUAUGUUUAUUUCCAUGUAAAGUUCUUACUUGAGUAGGUUUGAUUUUUUCCACCACAGUGAAGAUAUGGAGCGUUUUCUUUACCACCAGGUGGCCUCAUCUUGCUCUUUUAUAACCACGCCCACCUCUCUAUCCUUUGUGACUGCCUGUUCCCUAAUCCAUGGUUAAUAGUGGUCUUUAUAAUUUUUUUUUCUCAGUCAGCAUAAAUGCCUGAAGACUCACAUAGGUUGUGGUGGGUGUCAAUACUUUCUCACACUUUAAACAUUAUUGAUUUAUUUCCAAGCCCACUCCCCCCCACCUUGCCUCACACUCACAUACAUAGCUCUUCUGUCCACUGGUUCACUACCCACAGGCCCACAACAGCUGUGACUGGGCCAGGCUGAAGCCAGGAACCCAGACUCAGCCCAGGUCUCCUAUGUGGGCAUCAGGGACCCAAGUACUUGAGCCAUCACCUGCUGCCUCACUACAUGUGCAUUAGCAGGAAGCUGGCUUGGAAGCAGAGCCAUGGGUUGAACCCAGGCACUGUAUCGGGUAUGAGCAUCCCAAUGGCUUCUUAACCCUGUGCCAAAUGCUUGUCCCGGUUCCUCCCUUGUUAUUCCUGAGUAGUUUUAUCAACCUGCCCUUUGAUAGCCAUACCACACUCUCUUGGGGAAUCCCUUCCCUGCCCCAAUGGUAUGAUCUUUCUUUCCUCUGUUCUUCCUUCCUUCCUGCUGCUCCACGUUUCUUUACUUCAUCACACCCUUUCUGUUUGAGGACCUCCCUUUAGUCUUCUUAUGGGUAAGUCUGCUAGAGACAGGUUCAGUUAGUUUUCCUUUGUAUGCAAAUACCUUUUUUCAUCUUUUCUAGAUGAAAGAAACACUCAUGAUUCAGUGUUAUUUUUUUCAGGAGUUGAAAAAGUUGUCCUCAUAGAAGUGCCAGAAGAUGGAGAAAAUGUGCUGAAAGACAGCUCUGAGACAAGAUAUUACCCAGCUUUAUUGGGAAAUAUCGUUCCCACCAAUGUUGAUCCUUCAUCUGGCACUGCUGUACCCUGUUUUGGUGAGUUUGAAAUGCUUCAUGUUCCAAGUAUUGAAUGUCGAUUCAGCAGCAUUCUUUAAUUAGUUCUUUGUGAUUGCUUUUGAAAAAUUAAACUUCUUAUUUUGAAUUGUUUUGGAACCAGAGGCUGCUGUCAAAUAAUACAGACAGCUCUUCUGUGUUCUUUACCUGGUUUCCCUCUAUAGUAAUAUUUUGCCAAAAUAUAAUAAAAUAUCAUAACCAGAUGUCGACA
ensembl:lncRNA